AACGAACGCUGGCGGCAUGCCUAACACAUGCAAGUCGAACGAUUGCGCUCGGUUGGUCGUGGCGCCCGGUGGCGUAACGCGUGGUAAUCUGCCCGAAGGUUCGGAAUAACAGGGGGAAACGCCUGCUAAGACCGGAUGAUAUCGCGAGAUCAAAGAUUUAGCACCUGAGGAUGUGACCGCGUUGGAUUCGGUGGUUGGUGGGGUAACGGCCUACCAAGCCGACGGGGCACAGCUUGUCUGAGAGGAUGAUCAGCCACACCGGGAGUGGGACACGGCGCAGACUCCUACGCGAGGCAGGCGUGCGGAAUAUUGCAAAGCGGCGGGAAGGAUGAUGGAGCUAUGCCGGGUGAGCGAUGAAGGUCGUAGGGUUGUCAUGUUCUCUUAUACGGGAAGAGGAUGACGGUACCGGGAGAAUAAGCACCGGCUAACUACGUG
rnacentral:rRNA from 1 species